AGGGAUAUAAUUUAGUGGUUAGAAGCGGUUUCUCCAAAAAACUGAACCCCAGUUCGAAUCUGGGUAUCCCUG
rnacentral:tRNA from 1 species